AGAGUUUGAUCCUGGCUCAGGACGAACGCUGGCGGCGUGCUUAACACAUGCAAGUCGAACGGAAAGGCCCUUCGGGGUACUCGAGUGGCGAACGGGUGAGUAACACGUGGGUGAUCUGCCCUGCACUUUGGGAUAAGCCUGGGAAACUGGGUCUAAUACCGAAUAGGACCGCGCGCUUCAUGGUGUGUGGUGGAAAGCUUUUGCGGUGUGGGAUGGGCCCGCGGCCUAUCAGCUUGUUGGUGGGGUAAUGGCCUACCAAGGCGACGACGGGUAGCCGGCCUGAGAGGGUGACCGGCCACACUGGGACUGAGAUACGGCCCAGACUCCUACGGGAGGCAGCAGUGGGGAAUAUUGCACAAUGGGCGCAAGCCUGAUGCAGCGACGCCGCGUGGGGGAUGACGGCCUUCGGGUUGUAAACCUCUUUCAGUAUCGGCGAAGCUCCAGGAUUUUUCUUGGGGUGACGGUAGGUACAGAAGAAGCACCGGCCAACUACGUGCCAGCAGCCGCGGUAAUACGUAGGGUCCGAGCGUUGUCCGGAAUUACUGGGCGUAAAGAGCUCGUAGGUGGUUUGUCGCGUUGUUCGUGAAAACUCACAGCUUAACUGUGGGCGUGCGGGCGAUACGGGCAGACUAGAGUACUGCAGGGGAGACUGGAAUUCCUGGUGUAGCGGUGGAAUGCGCAGAUAUCAGGGGGAACACCGGUGGCGAAGGCGGGUCUCUGGGCAGUAACUGACGCUGAGGAGCGAAAGCGUGGGUAGCGAACAGGAUUAGAUACCCCGGUAGUCCAA
rnacentral:rRNA from 1 species